GAUUUUCACAAUGAUUGGCAUAAGUAUUUUGGAAACCAUCUUUGUCAGUAUUCUGUUUGCUAAAGGAGAAGAAAUCAAAUCAGAAGCUGCGGAAAGUUCUCUUGAUGACACGGUUACCAGUAGAUUUGAAGAGCCAACACAUACGGUGGACAGACAAAAGAAGGCAUCGCUAUACUGGACAAGAGCGGCAACAAUCAUAGAUGUGACCUUCCUUGUUAUUUAACAAUCAUAGAUGUGACCUUCCUUGUUAUUUAUAUAAUCACUGUUAUAGUGUUUCUGUCCGUUCUUGGCAAGAUGUGGUUUCUGUUGUAACCUCUUAUACCCCCUUGUGUUUAUCUAAUUUCUCAAGCAUAAAUUUAGUUAUAUAUUGUAUAUAAUACACAUAAUGGAAACAUUAAAAGCUGAUUUGAUUCUCUCAAA